rnacentral:rRNA from 1 species
AGAGUUUGAUCCUGGCUCAGGACGAACGCUGGCGGCGUGCCUAACACAUGCAAGUCGAGCGGAGAUAUAUUGAAGAUUCGUCGGAUAUAUAUCUUAGCGGCGGACGGGUGAGUAACGCGUGGGCAAUCUGCCUCACACAGGGGGAUAACACUGGGAAACUAGUGCUAAUACCGCAUGAUAUAUUGAAGCGGCAUCGCUUUAAUAUCAAAGGAGCAAUCCGGUGUGAGAUGAGCCCGCGUCCGAUUAGCUAGUUGGUGAGGUAAAGGCUUACCAAGGCGACGAUCGGUAGCCGAACUGAGAGGUUGAUCGGCCACAUUGGGACUGAGACACGGCCCAGACUCCUACGGGAGGCAGCAGUGGGGAAUAUUGCGCAAUGGGGGAAACCCUGACGCAGCAACGCCGCGUGAGUGAAGAAGGUUUUCGGAUCGUAAAGCUCUGUCGUUUGGGACGAACGUGACUUGGGUGAAUAAUCUAAGUUAAUGACGGUACCAAAGGAGGAAGCCACGGCUAACUACGUGCCAGCAGCCGCGGUAAUACGUAGGUGGCAAGCGUUGUCCGGAGUUAUUGGGCGUAAAGGGCGUGUAGGUGGAUCUUUAAGUCGUGUGUCUAAGUGCGGUGCUCAACGCCGUAUGGGCGCAGGAAACUGGAGAUCUUGAGUGCAGGAGAGGAAAGUGGAAUUCCCAGUGUAGCGGUGAAAUGCGUAGAUAUUGGGAGGAACACCAGUGGCGAAGGCGACUUUCUGGACUGUGUCUGACACUGAGGCGCGAAAGCCAGGGGAGCGAACGGGAUUAGAUACCCCGGUAGUCCAUGCCGUAAACGAUGGGUACUAGGUGUAGGAGGUAUCGACCCCUUCUGUGCCGGAGUUAACACAAUAAGUAUCCCACCUGGGGAGUACGGGCGCAAGGUUGAAACUCAAAGGAAUUGACGGGGGCCCGCACAAGCGGUGGAGUAUGUGGUUUAAUUCGACGCAACGCGAAGAACCUUACCAGGGCUUGACAUUGAGCGAAAGACUUAGAGAUAGGUCCCUCUCCUUCGGGAGACGUGAAAACAGGUGGUGCAUGGUUGUCGUCAGCUCGUGUCGUGGGAUGUUGGGUUAAGUCCCGCAACGAGCGCAACCCUUAUCCUUUGUUGCCAGCACGUGAUGGUGGGAACUCAAGGGAGACUGCCGCAGACAAUGCGGAGGAAGGCGGGGAUGACGCCAAGUCAUCAUGCCCCUUAUGUCCUGGGCUACACACGUACUACAAUGGGCUUAAACAAAGCGAAGCAAACCUGCGAAGGUAAGCGAAACGCAUAAACAAGCUCUCAGUUCGGAUCGGAGGCUGCAACUCGCCUCCGUGAAGUCGGAAUCGCUAGUAAUCGCAGGUCAGCAUACUGCGGUGAAUACGUUCCCGGGCCUUGUACACACCGCCCGUCACACCACGAAAGUUGGAAACACCCGAAGCCGGUGGCUUAACCGCAAGGAGAGAGCCGUCUAAGGUGGGGCCGAUGAUUGGGGUGAAGUCGUAACAAGGUAGCCGUAUCGGAAGGUGCGGCUGGAUCACCUCCUU